GACCUUGUAGCUCAGUUGGCAGAGCCGUGGACUAGUAUUCCAAAGGUCGCGGGUUCGAUUCCCACCGUGGUCA
rnacentral:tRNA from 1 species